AAAGAAACAAAAACGCGGAAAGGAGAGCCCAAAUCGUCUCCGUCUGUCAUUGUCGCAGUCUCUAAAAGAGAAAAACAAAUCGCAACGCUUCAAUAUCUCUCUCUCUCUCCCUAUCGUUUGAAUCAGUCUCCCAAGAUCCACCACCACACAUGCUACUAUGAGCCUCCGCCACCGCACCGUCCCCUCACAACCCGGACGGCCCCCGGCGGCGGGCGCAAUCGACGAGGAGCCCUACAACAUCAUCCCCGUCAACAACCUCCUCGCCGACCACCCCUCCCUCCGCUACCCCGAGGUCCGCGCCGCCGCCGCCGCCCUCAAAACCGUCGGCGACCUCCGCCGCCCCACCUACGUCCAAUGGCGCCCCCACUACGACCUCCUCGACUGGCUCGCCCUCUUCUUCGGCUUCCAGAAGGACAACGUCCGCAACCAGCGCGAGCACCUCGUCCUCCACCUCGCCAACGCCCAGAUGCGCCUCUCCCCGCCGCCGGACAACAUCGAUUCCCUCGAUCCCGCCGUCGUCCGCCGCUUCCGCCGCAAGCUCCUCGGUAACUACUCCAGCUGGUGCUCCUACCUCGGGAGGAAGUCCAACAUCUGGAUCUCGGAUCGGACCCCCGAUUCGCGGCGGGAGCUUCUCUACGUCGGCCUCUACCUCCUCGUGUGGGGCGAGGCGGCGAAUCUUAGGUUUAUGCCUGAGUGUAUCUGUUACAUCUUCCACAAUAUGGCCUCGGAGCUUAACAAGAUCUUAGAGGAUUGCCUCGACGAGAGCACGGGGCAGCCGUAUUCUCCUAAGAUCACGGGGGAGAAUAGUUUCCUAAACGGCGUCGUUAAGUCAGAACAAAAGGAAGAUUCCAUCUAAUGGAUUAUAAUCCCACAUGCCCAUUUUUAAAACUAGACAAAAUAACUUAUAAUAGUCCCAUAAGAGCAUUAAGACAAACUGAACCAAAAAGAAUCUUAAAUGCUGGUGAAUCUAGUCUCGAAUGCUGCUGAACACUCCUGAUAUUAGAAUUUGGCAGAAAAUAUUCAUACUAAUAACAGUAAAUACAUUUCAAAACAAGAAAAUAGUAGUAGUAAAUAAAAACAAUUAAUAUGUUAUUAUUGUUUCUCUUAGCUGUUACCAUUACAUUAACAAUUUACAUUCAAUCCUUUUAAUGAAAAAUAUUAUAAAAUAUUAAAAGAAGUUAUUAGAAAAGGAGAGGGAUAUGGGGGGGGGGAGAGCAUGGAGGGGUCCCAUGUGUGUUUCGAAAAGCAGCAAACAUGACUUUGUAAAGUCUUGUUUUAGCUAGAGUUCCAAAAAAAAAAGAGUUCAAAAAAAAAGAAAAAAAAAAGUCUUGUUUUAGCGUCCAAAGCGGUCUCACUCGCCGUUCAGCUGUUAAAUUUUCUUGAAAUAAAUCGCUCCACUUGUUUUUUAUUUUUGUUUCUUUCAACCCACUUGUAUUAAUAACAAUAAUGAUAUUGCUAAUCUUGAACAAAUCGUGGAUUGUCUUUUCUUCCAGUGAUAUCAUCCUUAGUCAAAACAUCUCAAAUUAAAUAAAUAUAUAGUUGUGAAUUAAAAAAAAAGGUAUAGAGUUUAUAAAAUUAGCAUUUGCGAAUGUUUUUAAAAGUUUGGCGUUUGUAUAGAUCACUGUCAGUGUCAUGAAUCAUUCGGUGACAGCAAAUUUGUAUAUGCCAAAAAAGAGAGUUGAUACUUGCCAUUCUCGAUAUUUUGAAUUUUUUUUCGUCGACAUACAAACUCAACAUUUUCGAAAUCUUAGAUUAAAAACAAAAUGGACAAAACGAUACUUAUUAAUGAAUUAUGUACUAGCGUCUAAACAUUAGUAACAUAGAUAUAAUUAUAAGAACAAGAAACAUAUAUGCACAAAGCCUCAAACCAAAUUUAAAUAGUGUUACGAAACAAGGGAUGUACUUGUUAUGAAAAAUUAAUGUAUAACCAUUCUUAGCAUUUUUUACCUAACCCUUAAACUUUAUAAAGAAAAAUAUGUAACAUUUCGGUGUGUGGUAUAUAAAAGUAUUUUGAAAAUCGAUUUGAUUAUUUCUAUUAUUAAAAUGUACUUACUUUUUUUAUCACACAUUUAUUUACAAUUUCAGAGUUAAACAUGAUUAAGACAAAGUAGUGAAAAUAUAGAUGAUCUACCAGAAAAUCAUUUGCUUUCUGAGUGAGAUCAAAAUAAAGGCAAAAAUAAUGUGAUGAUUGUAUAUUAAACAAUUAUUUUGAAUUUGAAAAGAAUAACUCAUCGAAUGAAGCCUAUGAACCGAGUAAGCGGUGAAGCGGUUGGACCGUCACAAAAAUUAUGACCAACAAGAAAAUAAAAUUGAUAUUAGUGAAUGAUAUAUUUUGGAAAGUAAUAAAUUGGUUCCAGAUUUCAAUACAUCAAUGUUUUUCUAAUGCUGACUUGCUUUUCCUCUUUUUCUUACAUGAUAAGGAAACGAGAGAGGUCGAAGAAACAAAGAAACUUCCUAAGCAUUUAGCAACGCAUCUUCAAAAAAUCUAGUAUUUACCAAGUAAAAUCAUACAAAAUAAGGAAAAAAAGAAGAAUAUAUUUCCCAAUUUGGUUUUCACCGGAAAAAAAAAACUGUCUUAACAAAAUCUUAAUGCACCAAAUCAUAUAAGAACUUUAUUUGACCAUUGUCAUUAGUUUUUUCCUUAUGGUAAUGGAUCUUCAAACAAUUUAAAUUAAAUUAAAAAAAAAAAGAAAAGAGAAACAAAAACGCGGAAAGGAGAGCCCAAAUCGUCUCCGUCUGUCAUUGUCGCAGUCUCUAAAAGAGAAAAACAAAUCGCAACGCUUCAAUAUCUCUCUCUCUCUCUCUCCCUAUCGUUUGAAUCAGUCUCUCAAGAUCCACCACCACACAUGCUACUAUGAGCCUCCGCCACCGCACCGUCCCCUCUCAACCCGGACGGCCCCCGGCGGCGGGCGCAAUCGAGGACGAGCCCUACAACAUCAUCCCCGUCAACAACCUCCUCGCCGACCACCCCUCCCUCCGCUACCCCGAGGUCCGCGCCGCCGCCGCCGCCCUCAAAACCGUCGGCGACCUCCGCCGCCCCACCUACGUCCAAUGGCGCCCCCACUACGACCUCCUCGACUGGCUCGCCCUCUUCUUCGGCUUCCAGAAGGACAACGUCCGCAACCAGCGCGAGCACCUCGUCCUCCAC
rnacentral:lncRNA from 1 species